GACGAACGCUGGCGGCGUGCUUAACACAUGCAAGUCGAACGGAAAGGCCCUGCUUUUGUGGGGUGCUCGAGUGGCGACCGGGUGAGUAACACGUGAGUAACCUGCCCUUGACUUUGGGAUAACUUCAGGAAACUGGGGCUAAUACCGGAUAGGAGCUCCUGCUGCAGGGUGGGGGUUGGAAGGUUUCGGCGGUUGGGGGUGGAGUCGCGGCUUAUCAGCUUGUUGGUGGGGUAGUGUCUUACCAGGGCUUUGACGGGUAGCCUGGCUUGGAGGGUGACCGGCCACAUUGGGACUGAGAUACGGCCCAGACUCCUACGGGAGGCAGCAGUGGGGAAUAUUGCACAAUGGGAGGAAGCCUGAUGCAGCAACGCCGCGUGCGGGAUGACGGCCUUCGGGUUGUAAACCGCUUUCGCCUGUGACGAAGCGUGAGUGACGGUAAUGGGUAAAGAAGCACCGGCUAACUACGUG
rnacentral:rRNA from 1 species